rnacentral:rRNA from 1 species
GAUGAACGCUGGCGGCGUGCCUAAUACAUGCAAGUCGAGCGAACUGAUUAGAAGCUUGCUUCUAUGACGUUAGCGGCGGACGGGUGAGUAACACGUGGGCAACCUGCCUGUAAGACUGGGAUAACUUCGGGAAACCGAAGCUAAUACCGGAUAGGAUCUUCUCCUUCAUGGGAGAUGAUUGAAAGAUGGUUUCGGCUAUCACUUACAGAUGGGCCCGCGGUGCAUUAGCUAGUUGGUGAGGUAACGGCUCACCAAGGCAACGAUGCAUAGCCCCACGGGAAGGGUGAUCAGCCAAACUGGGACGGAGACACGGCCCAGACUCCUACGGGAGGCAGCAGUAGGGAAUCUUCCGCAAUGGACGAAAGUCUGACGGAGCAACGCCGCGUGAGUGAUGAAGGCUUUCGGGUCGUAAAACUCUGUUGUUAGGGAAGAACAAGUACGAGAGUAACUGCUCGUACCUUGACGGUACCUAACCAGAAAGCCACGGCUAACUACGUGCCAGCCGCCGCCGUAACAC